rnacentral:rRNA from 1 species
GCAUAUCAAUAAGCGGAGGAAAAGAAAAUAACAAUGAUUCCUCUAGUAACUGCGAGUGAAGAGGGAAAAGCUCAAAUUUUAAAUCUGUUAGGUUUACCUAACCGAGUUGUAAUUUGAAGAAGCGUUUUUCUGCGAAUUUGGUUAGUCCAAAUCCUUUGGAAUAAGGUAUCAUGGAGGGUGAGAAUCCCGUUCGGUUAACCAAAGCGCUUUACGAUACGCUUUCAAAGAGUCAAGUUGUUUGGGAUUGCAGCUUAAAAUGGGAGGUAAAUUUCUCCUAAGGCUAAAUAUUGGCGAGAGACCGAUAGCGAACAAGUACCGUGAGGGAAAGAUGAAAAGAACUUUGAAAAGAGAGUUAAACAGUACGUGAAAUUGUUGAAAGGGAAACGAUUAAAGUCAGUCGUACCUACGAGUAAUCAACCUACUCGAGUGCGAUUUUGUGGGUAUGUUUGAGCUUAAAAACCUUCAUGCUUACAAAUUGGUGUUCUUUGGGCGUACUUUCUCGUAUGGUAGGUUAACAUCAAUUUCGACCGUUAUAAAAUGACUGGAGGAAUGUAGCUUCGACCUCGGUUGAAGUGUUAUAGCCUUUGGUAGAUGUAAUGAUUGGGAUUGAGGAUUGCAACGGAUACCCUCUGGGCUAUUCGUCUGAUCUCUGGAAGUUACCUUGGUGUCGAAAGCGUGCUUACGAUAUUAAGGUUGACGGCCAAUAGGUUAGAACGUGAUUAAAUUCGUUAAGGAUGUUGACGUAAUGGCUUUAAACGAC